rnacentral:rRNA from 1 species
UAGGGAAUCUUCGGCAAUGGGGGGAACCCUGACCGAGCAACGCCGCGUGAGUGAAGAAGGUUUUCGGAUCGUAAAGCUCUGUUGUUAAGGAAGAACGAGCGUGAGAAUGGAAAGUUCAUGCUGUGACGGUACUUAACCAGAAAGGGACGGCUAACUACGUGCCAGCAGCCGCGGUAAUACGUAGGUCCCGAGCGUUUUCCGGAUUUAUUGGGCGUAAAGCGAGCGCAGGCGGUUAGAAAAGUCUGAAGUGAAAGGCGGUGGCUCAACCAUUGUAGGCUUUGGAAACUGUUUAACUUGAGUGCAGAAGGGGAGAGUGGAAUUCCAUGUGUAGCGGUGAAAUGCGUAGAUAUAUGGAGGAACACCGGUGGCGAAAGCGGCUCUCUGGUCUGUAACUGACGCUGAGGCUCGAAAGCGUGGGGAGCGAACAGG